rnacentral:tRNA from 1 species
CAUUGGGUGACUGAAAGUAAGUAUAGGUCUUUUAAACCUACUAUAGUAUCUUCACGCCUACUUCCAAUGA